CGCGGUGGUUGCCGCCACCGCCACAGCCACCGCCAUCGCCACCGCCACCGCCAACGUCGUCGCCACAACGAAGCGAGAGUAGCCCGCCAGAUAUAUAAGAGAAGAAGUCGAUUCGAUUUUCUUCAUUGCGUAUUCACCUGAGAAGAUUACUCGAUGAUCCUUGUCGAAUGUAUUAGCGACGGGACACGAAAAUUCGUGGGGAAGAAUACUCUUUGAUAGACCUUGCGUGGGAAUUUCAUGCGUGCCUCGACGAUAGCACUUUUUCUCGAUUCCUCGUCGAAUUUCGUAAUAAGAUAUUAUUCUUUUAUUUCGAAUACGUAAAUGCGAAUACAUGCGCGCACGCAUACAUAUGUUAGAUUAUUAAACUUGAUGUUCU